GUUCACUGCACACUGACAGGCCCAAAUCUGCAUGAGAAUGUCGCCUUGGCAGCUUGCUGCAGCCCGUCACUGCRGCACAGCCGUAGCAUCAGUUCGGCUCUGCAACCAGGGUAUUGUUUGGUGUUGGAAAAUCCCUCCCUCCCGCUGAGAAGUGGCUCCAUGGCAGCCCGUGAAUAUUACUCCACCAGCCAAGCUCAGUCUGCAAAUGACGUYGUGAGUCACUGCACUCCCCGCAAGUCUGCAGUCCCCAGAAUGUGCAUCUGUCUGCCCGUGGCAACUGCUUGGGGCUGGUGUGAUGCUUGGCAAGUUCAGCUGACUCCGAGUGGCCUCGUACCUGAAUUAUCUCCUGUCAAGCAUCAAGUCAAGUAUGAGUGAAACUGCAAAUGGGAGUCUAUUAAAGUUUCACGUUUCUCCACUGGAAUGCCAUAGAUUAGAGAAGUUUUCAGAAGACACUGAUUGCUGAAUAUGGAGCUCUGUAAUGCAUUAUCUUUUCCUCUGUGAUAAUAAAACUUUGUCUUUAGUCAAGCAAAUGUUCAUUUCUUGCAAUGAAGUCGGAAGCAUUGCAACUGCAGCCUGUUGAACUAUUGGCAGAGUUGAGUGUGAAGAAAGAGACAGAUAACUUUCACAGAUUGACCGUUUGCAAGAUAAAACUGCAGUAUUUUAUAGACUUGUCAUGUGACAGAUUUAAUAUGAAUAAAAGCGAGAGUAUUAUUUCACUAUUUUAUUACAGUUCUCGGGUUAAUUACACUCUAAGAUUCUGAUUUGUGGCUCAGAUAUAUCCCUUUAUUUUGGCCUACAAAUGAGGGCUGUGUUUCUGUGAGGUUACCUUCUUUUUUAAGCGGGAAAGCAUAUGGACCAUAUACAGGCUAGAUGAACUGCAAGAAAGGCCUUUAUGAGUUGUGACAUCCCAUAACAUCAUUUAUGUUUUGUGUGUUUUUUAACAGAGACAUCUAGGAUUUGAGAUGCUAUGAAGAUGCCUUCACUUUCUAAGACCUGCCAAGUUUGGAUUAAAUGCUGCUUACAUCUUCAGUGGCACCCUGCUUUUUCAUUGUUCUCUUUGUUUACCUUACCAUUAUAUUUGCUUGUUUUGCUGAAGAACUACUCUGCAUUGCUGUUGAAUAUUGUAGCUCUUCCUUAUUUUAUUGCUAACCCCAGCACUACACAUAAAAAGCUACUGCACAAUGAAUAAUUAAUCUGACAAAUUUAGCCUUUUCAGAUACAAUUCCUUUAAUGUCUUUGUUACACAAAGGUAUUCUUGGAAUCUGACUGAUUUUUACACUGUAUUAACCAUGCAGUUAUAUGACUAUUUGCUAUUUAUAGUCAGAAUGUGUUGGUUACUUGUGAGAGCCUAGCUAAGUUACAUGUUAUUGUUUCUGUUCUGCAUUUGGCUGCGUGCAGAAAAACUGGCAGCCAAGUGCUUGUGUGUGCGUGUGCAGAGCCAAAUUUCUGGGUUGGCAUAGUUCCACAGUUGCACCACCAGAGAAUUAGGCCCUUCGAAUUCAGUUUCUCUGAUUCCUUGUACAGAGUUUAACAUUUACUUUCCAUUAACGUUUAUGCCAGAUCAGCAUGAGUGGAAAGAGAGAUAAGCAGAGCCAAACACAUUUGUCUAAAAACUUGGUUAAGUAGUCAUGGACAAUUGCUUGAAAUAAUAAGCCAUCUUAUCAUUUGUCAUCAGUGAUCAUUAGCAUUAAUAUUAGAAUUGUUACUCUUUCUUGUGUCCAGGAUUUAUUAUGUAGUGAGGCCUCUUAACUUUUAUUGAAACGCUAACRUGUAAAGUGGUUUUUAAAAUCAGUGCUUUUCCCUUUAAAGCUGGCAUUCUCUUAUAGAUAAUGACUGACUGUGGAUAUGUACUUGAGUUCAACAAUAACUAUUAAAGCUUUCAGAGAGCUCCAGAAUUGUAACUGAUUUUCUUUUAAUAAUGACGCACACC
ensembl:lncRNA